GAAUGUUGGAAACUUUCUCUCUCUCUCUCUCUCUCUCUCUCUCUCUCUCUGUGUGUGUGUGUGUGUGUGUGAGAGAGAGAGAGUGAGAGAGAGAGAGAGAGAUCUAAGAGUAUACCUUGUAU